GAUGAAGAACGUAGCGAAAUGCGAUACGUAAUGUGAAUUGCAAAUUCAGUGAAUCAUCGAGUCUUUGAACGCACAUUGCGCCCCCUGGUAUUCCGGGGGGCAUGCCUGUCCGAGCGUCAUUGCUGCCCUCAAGCCCGGCUUGUGUGUUGGGCCCCGUCCUCCGAUUCCGGGGGACGGGCCCGAAAGGCAGCGGCGGCACCGCGUCCGGUCCUCGAGCGUAUGGGGCUUUGUCACCCGCUCUGUAGGCCCGGCCGGCGCUUGCCGAUCAACCCAAAUUUUUAUCCAGGUUGACCUCGGAUCAGGUAGGGAUACCCGCUGAACUUAAGCAUAUCAAUAAGCGGAGGA
rnacentral:misc_RNA from 1 species